AGUGAACGCUGGCGGUAGGCCUAACACAUGCAAGUCGAACGGCAGCACAGUAAGAGCUUGCUCUUACGGGUGGCGAGUGGCGGACGGGUGAGGAAUACAUCGGAAUCUACUUUUUCGUGGGGGAUAACGUAGGGAAACUUACGCUAAUACCGCAUACGACCUACGGGUGAAAGCAGGGGAUCUUCGGACCUUUCGCGAUUGAAUGAGCCGAUGUCGGAUUAGCUAGUUGGCUGGGUAAAGGCCCACCAAGGCGACGAUCCGUAGCUGGUCUGAGAGGAUGAUCAGCCACACUGGAACUGAGACACGGUCCAGACUCCUACGGGAGGCAGCAGUGGGGAAUAUUGGACAAUGGGCGCAAGCCUGAUCCAGCCAUACCGCGUGGGUGAAGAAGGCCUUCGGGUUGUAAAGCCCUGUUGUUGGGAAAGAAAAGCAGCAGGUUAAUACCCCGCUGUUCUGACGGUACCCAAAGAAUAAGCACCGGCUAACUUCGUG
rnacentral:rRNA from 1 species